UAACUCUGGUUUUCCUUCAAAACGCAUAAAUCUUUCGCCUUUUACUAAAGAUUUCCGUGGAGGGGAACACUCAAAUGAGUCUAUAAUAUUUUUUGAAUACUCUGCUUUGGCAGAGUU
rnacentral:snRNA from 1 species